rnacentral:rRNA from 1 species
GGUUCAUUCAAAUUUCUGCCCUAUCAACUUUCGAUGGUAGGAUAGUGGCCUACCAUGGUUUCAACGGGUAACGGGGAAUUAGGGUUCUAUUCCGGAGAAGGAGCCUGAGAAACGGCUACUACAUCCAAGGAAGGCAGCAGGCGCGCAAAUUACCCAAUCCCGACCGGGGAGGUUGUGACAAUAAAUACUGAUACAGGGCUCUUUUGAGUCUUGUAAUUGGAAUGAGUACAAUUUAAAUCCCUUAACGAGGAACAAUUGGAGGGCAAGUCUGGUGCCAGCAGCCCGGGUAAUUCCAGCUCCAAUAGCGUAUUUUAAAGUUGUUGCAGUUAAAAAGCUCGUAGUUG